rnacentral:rRNA from 1 species
UACGGAGGGGGCUAGCGUUGUUCGGAAUUACUGGGCGUAAAGCGCACGUAGGCGGCUUGGCAAGUUAGAGGUGAAAGCCCGGGGCUCAACUCCGGAAUUGCCUUUAAAACUGCAUCGCUAGAAUUGUGGAGAGGUAAGUGGAAUUCCGAGUGUAGAGGUGAAAUUCGUAGAUAUUCGGAAGAACACCAGUGGCGAAGGCGACUUACUGGACACAUAUUGACGCUGAGGUGCGAAAGCGUGGGGAGCAAACGGG